GGGGGCUGGGGCUGGGGUGCUCGGCCUAUCUCACCGGCCCUGCCGGCCGUCCGCGCCCUUGGUCCCGCCUCGGAGCCCCGGCCCCGGCCCCGGCCCCGACUCCGGCCCCGGCACGGGAGCUGCUCUUCUCUCGCGGAAGCGGUGUCGCCUGGCUCGCGGCAGCGCAGACGCCCUGCCUUGCCCUCGGGCUGGCCGGGCCGCCUGUGGCCGGAGAAAGCCCCAUUGUGGCCUGAGUGCGCCCCGCAGCCAGUCGGGAUUUCUCUCGCAGAGAGAGGCCUUUGUUCGCCUCACCCCAUCUGACUGCCCCGUGCUCUGUCCCAGCCUCAUUUGCUCCCCAAGCCCCAACCUGGGUUCCUGCUCUGGCAACAAGAAGCAGGUGGCAGCAAGGGGCGUUUUUGCGCCCCUCCCCCUAAUCACCCAGGAAAUCUCUGAGCUUGGCCACCUGCCCUGGGGGAGGAGACGCGAGGCCUGCGCACUCCACUCUGCUUCAUCCCUGGUUGCCCUCCCCACUCCUGUGCUCCCCCUGGCGUUUGCGCUGUGUGACAUCCCUCUCCUCCACCGCUGCCUGGGGUUGGGGGCAGUCAGGCCAGGCCAGGCCACCCCUGGGUGAGGGCUUUGGGGCCAGAGGGAUCUGCACUGACCACCUCCAAGUUUCUGGGCGGGCCCUGUUCUUAGGCUGUUCCCACCGCAGCAGAAUAUAAAGUGCUGAAGCCAGAACCCACAACAGGACACAAGGCUCAUAACCUGCGCAGGGGCCACCGGCAAUCGGCCACCAUGCCCCUGCCCUGCUGUGCCUCGACUUACCCAUCUGCUGCUGGGGUCAUCCCAACCAUCUCUUACUGAAGGACCCUGCGUAUCUUGUUCAAGUUCAGUGUGGUGAGCCCAUUGGUGGGAGGUGUUUUUCCUCCCCGAAGACUGUAUUUUGAAAAGUACUAAUAAAAUACAGGAGGUGAGUAGCCAAAGCAGAAUUUUAGGUGAAUUCUAUUUCCUCAUUGAUUAACAUUUAAAAUUCAGAGAUGCAAAGGAAUAUAAUCCAUGGGGUUGGGGGGUUGAAUAUUGAAAGAUCUGAGUGCCUUGCUCUUUCCAAAGCAUGUGUUUAAAGGAAGGUUCUGGUUGUGUGCAGGGCAUACACAGGCAAGUUUGUGUGUCGUGGGUGUGUACACCCCGGUCCCAGAACCUAGGAGUGGGCUCUGUGUGGCCUUAGGCGAACAUCGGACCCCAUCUGGAGUCCUGGCCUAUUUUUCUGGGAAAGGCAACAAUUAUCUGCUGGAGAAUCUUCAGAUAUAGGAGGGAUGGGGGUUAGGACAGUGCCUCUUGCAGUGGGGGACUUAGGGGAGCCAUAGGCGACAGGCUGCUUUGGGUCCCUGCUUCCCCUUUCUGGGAGCAGCCUGCUCUGACAGGGUCCAGGCUGGGCCAACCAGGGUCCUUCCUCGUAGGACUGAUCAGAUCCAACAAGGGAAACCGAGACUUUUCCUCUCUGGUUUUUCAAGGACUAGCCUGUGGGCCUGGAGUCUCCAGGAGCCACUGUCCCUGCAAGGAGCAGAAGCCUGGUGGAGAGAAAGAAGCUCCAUGGGAGGUGGAGGACACAAGUGAUGGGAACAGAGUACUGGCAGCACUGAGUUCCUACCCAGCAUCCUCACAGCCAGUUCCUCUUAGCCCUUCCUGACCUAGCCCAUUAAUCCGGUUUGCGCCUAAGCUACUACAUGCUGGGUUUCUGUCACUUUCAAUUAAGAGGUUCCUCACCAAUACACAGAUCAUGUGGAAAAUCCCAGUAAAGGAAAACUGACAUUUGUCACAUGCCCACUGUUAAAUGCUGUUUUUGAAAAAUAUGCAUUAUUGCCUGGCUCAGUGGCUCACAUCUGUAAUCCCAACACUUUGGGAGGCCGAGGCAGGCGGAUCACCUGAGGUCAGGAGUUCAAGACCAGCCUGGCCAACAUGGUGAAACCCCAUCUCUACAAAAAUACAAAAAUCAGCUGGGCAUGAUGGCCGGUGCCUGUAAUCCCAGCUACUCGGGAGGCUGAGGUGGGAGAAUUGCUCGAACCUGGGAGGUGGAGGUUGCAGUGAGCUGAGAUGGCACCACUGCACUUCAGCCUGGGCGACAGAAUGAGACUCUGUCUCAAAAAAAAAAAAAAAAAAA
rnacentral:lncRNA from 1 species